rnacentral:lncRNA from 1 species
UAUCUCAAGAUUUGAUUUCAACUUAGGUUGACAAUUGGUCCUCUUUGGAUAUCAAUUUUUAGCUUCUUGAGGUAAUUUUUGCUAAAAUCUACUCUCAAAUUCUUCUUAAAUAUGUCUAUAAUAUUUAAUUUUCCAAUCUACUUUUUUCUCCUUAUGUAUAGCCUUAUAAAGUAAGUACAAGCCCAUUUUGUAAAAAAAUAGUAUUAUCAUUUUUUAGGUUUAUUAUAUUUUUUACUAU